rnacentral:rRNA from 1 species
GGGCCCGCACAAGCAGUGGAGCAUGUGGUUUAAUUCGAUGCAACGCGAAGAACCUUACCAGGCCUUGACAUCCUCGGAACUUUCUAGAGAUAGAUUGGUGCCUUCGGGAACCGAGUGACAGGUGCUGCAUGGCUGUCGUCAGCUCGUGUCGUGAGAUGUUGGGUUAAGUCCCGUAACGAGCGCAACCCCUAUCCCUGGUUGCUAGCAGGUAAUGCUGAGAACUCCAGGGAGACUGCCGGUGACAAACCGGAGGAAGGUGGGGAUGACGUCAGGUCAUCAUGGCCCUUACGGCCAGGGCUACACACGUGCUACAAUGGCGCGUACAGAGGGGCUGCCAACUCGCGAGAGUGAGCCAAUCCCCUUAAAACGCGUCGU